GAUGAACGCUAGCUACAGGCUUAACACAUGCAAGUCGAGGGGCAGCAGGAUCUAGCAAUAGAUUGCUGGCGACCGGCGCACGGGUGAGUAACACGUAUCCAACCUGCCGAUAACUCGGGGAUAGCCUUUCGAAAGAAAGAUUAAUACCCGAUGGUAUAAUCAGACCGCAUGGUUUGAUUAUUAAAGAAUUUCGGUUAUCGAUGGGGAUGCGUUCCAUUAGGCAGUUGGUGAGGUAACGGCUCACCAAACCUUCGAUGGAUAGGGGUUCUGAGAGGAAGGUCCCCCACAUUGGAACUGAGACACGGUCCAAACUCCUACGGGAGGCAGCAGUGAGGAAUAUUGGUCAAUGGACGCGAGUCUGAACCAGCCAAGUAGCGUGAAGGAUGACUGCCCUAUGGGUUGUAAACUUCUUUUAUAUGGGAAUAAAGUUUUCCACGUGUGGAAUUUUGUAUGUACCAUAUGAAUAAGGAUCGGCUAACUCCGUGCCAGCAGCCGCGGUAAUACGGAGGAUCCGAGCGCUAUCCGGAUUUAUUGGGUUUAAAGGGAGCGUAGGUGGACAGUUAAGUCAGUUGUGAAAGUUUGCGGCUCAACCGUAAAAUUGCAGUUGAUACUGGCUGUCUUGAGUACAGUAGAGGUGGGCGGAAUUCGUGGUGUAGCGGUGAAAUGCUUAGAUAUCACGAAGAACUCCGAUUGCGAAGGCAGCUCACUGGACUGCAACUGACACUGAUGCUCGAAAGUGUGGGUAUCAAACCGGAUUAGAUACCCUGGUAGUCCACACAGUAAACGAUGAAUACUCGCUGUUUGCGAUAUACAGUAAGCGGCCAAGCGAAAGCAUUAAGUAUUCCACCUGGGGAGUACGCCGGCAACGGUGAAACUCAAAGGAAUUGACGGGGGCCCGCACAAGCGGAGGAACAUGUGGUUUAAUUCGAUGAUACGCGAGGAACCUUACCCGGGCUUAAAUUGCAUUUGAAUAAUCUGGAAACAGGUUAGCCGCAAGGCAAAUGUGAAGGUGCUGCAUGGUUGUCGUCAGCUCGUGCCGUGAGGUGUCGGCUUAAGUGCCAUAACGAGCGCAACCCUUAUCUUUAGUUACUAACAGGUCAUGCUGAGGACUCUAGAGAGACUGCCGUCGUAAGAUGUGAGGAAGGUGGGGAUGACGUCAAAUCAGCACGGCCCUUACGUCCGGGGCUACACACGUGUUACAAUGGGGGGUACAGAAGGCAGCUACCUGGUGACAGGAUGCUAAUCCCAAAAGCCUCUCUCAGUUCGGAUCGAAGUCUGCAACCCGACUUCGUGAAGCUGGAUUCGCUAGUAAUCGCGCAUCAGCCAUGGCGCGGUGAAUACGUUCCCGGGCCU
rnacentral:rRNA from 1 species